GACGAACCGUCCAAACGUUAUUCGGAAUUACUGGGCUUAAAGGGUGCGUAGGCGGGCUGUCAAGUCUGGGGUGAAAUCCCGCUGCUCAACCGUGGAACUGCCUCAGAUACUGACGGCCUCGAGGGAGAUAGGGGCGAGCGGAACUGUGAGUGGAGCGGUGAAAUGCGUUGAUAUUCACAGGAACUCCGGUGGCGAAGGCGGCUCGCUGGAUCUCUUCUGACGCUGAGGCGCGAAAGCCAGGGGAGCAAACGGG
rnacentral:rRNA from 1 species